AUCAACAGAUUGAUGAUUUGACUUUUGAGAUAUAUUUUCCAACAUCUCCCACUUGUCCUAAAGCCACUCGGCACAGUAUCUAAUGCCCAUCUUCAAUUUGUGGUUGUCGAACUCCUUCAUCGCCAGGGCUUUAGUGAAGGGGUCGGUCAGGUUCUUCUUUCCAUCGAUCUUCUAAAGGUCGACGUCACCUCGAUCCAUGAUCUCCC
rnacentral:lncRNA from 1 species